AGUAAUAUGACUGAUAUUAAGUGAUAAAUUGUAAAUUUAUUUAAGAAUUUGAUUAAAAAUUUUAUUACUA
rnacentral:tRNA from 1 species